rnacentral:rRNA from 1 species
UACGAAGGUCCCGAGCGUUGUUCGGAAUUACUGGGCGUAAAGCGCACGUAGGCGGCUUUGUAAGUUAGAGGUGAAAGCCCGGGGCUCAACUCCGGAAUGGCCUUUAAGACUGCAUCGCUAGAAUUGUGGAGAGGUAAGUGGAAUUCCGAGUGUAGAGGUGAAAUUCGUAGAUAUUCGGAAGAACACCAGUGGCGAAGGCGACUUACUGGACACAUAUUGACGCUGAGGUGCGAAAGCGUGGGGAGCAAACAGG